AUUUUUUAUUAUAGCUGGUUUACAGUGUUCUGUCCAUUGUCUACUGGGCAACACGGUGACCCAGUUACACGUACAUGUAUAGAUUCUUUUUUCCCACAAUAUCAUGCUCCAUCAUAAGUGACUAGAUAUAGUUCCCAGUGCUACACAGCAGGAUCUCAUUACCUCACGCCAGUCAGAGCGGCCAUCAUUACGAAGUCCACAAAUAACAAACGCUGGAGAGGGUGUGGAGAAAAGGGAACCCUCCUGAACUGUUCGUGGGAAUGUAAGCUGGUACAACCACUAUGGAGAACAGUAUGGAGGUACCUUAGAAAACUAUACAUAGAACUAUCAUAUGCCCCAGCAAUCCUACUCUUGGGCAUAUAUUCGGACAAAACUUUCCUUAAAAAAGACACAUGCACCUGCAUGUUCAUUGCAGCACAAUAGCCAAGACAUGGAAACAACCCAAAUGGCCAUUGACAGAUGGUUGGAUUAGAAAGAUGUGGUAUAUAUACACAAUGGAAUACUACUUAGCCAUAAAAAGAACAAAAUUAUGCCAUUUGCAGGAACAUGGCUGGAACUUGAGACUCCCCAGGGCAUUGUCUCGCAGUGUCAGCAUCUUGAGCAUUAAACCUAGGGCAGCAUGGAAGGAAGACUCACUAUGUACCUAAAGGGAAGACACAACAUCCUUUGCAUCCCUGCUCUACAGAGUGGUUCCAGGACUUUUCAGGUCAGCAGUGGCUUUUCAAAGCUCCAGCAGGGAGGAGGCAUUGGUAUGAGAUCUGGGGAGCUGCCAGGUGAAGGUGAAAAAGCUCAGGACGGGGCGUGGUCUCAUCCCAGCUUGGCCAUAGACUGGCCAACUAUCAGUACUUGCCAGGAGGAUUUCAGUGUCCUCAGAUACAUGAACUGGCUGCCCUCAGAUGGUCUCUCAGGCUCUUUGCACUGUUAAAAAUCCAUCCUCCCCGUUACUAAGAUGCCAGACCCAUCCAGGAAAGGAGUGGUGGAAUAAAAAGCUGGGAAUGGGGAAACCUGUGUCACAAAAGUCUUUGCCUUUUUUCCCAUGUGAUGUGCUCUUUAAGCUCUAGACCACGCCUGAGAAGAAUUAGAGUUAGGCAGCUCAAGGUCAGGCAAGAUGUGGAUUUGGAUGGUGGAUCAGUGGGACAUUACCUGGCACAGCACUUUCUGUCGUGAUGAGAGAACCGGGAGACUCAGAGCACACAGGUGACUCAGAGAGCAGGUGGAUCAGGAAGGGAGGCUUCUGCAGGAUAGGUUCACAUGAGGAGCAUGGAGCCUGGCACAUGGAGCGGGGCUCUUGGUCUCCAAAUAUUCUAGGAAACUGCUUUCCUCAAGUUCAAAUAGGUAAAGUUUAGUUGUGUAGGUGGAAGGCAGGGGUUGCCAUUUAUUCAUGCCCCACAUCCUGCCCUUGUGUUCACACUGCUGAUGAGAGAGAGAUCUCCUCCACACUUGGACUUGUGCUGACCCAGGGAACUCGGAGAAGAACAAACAGACUCAGCCAGGAGACCCAGGAUGAGGUUCUUCCAUAAGCCCCAUGGGAGCAGGGAAGAUCCGGGGAGGGAAGCCUGAGCCUCAUGGUGUACGAGGGCAUUUUAGUGUCAACCCUGGACGACAGAUGCCCUUCUGCCCUUCUAGACCCAGGUGCAUGUCCCUCACAGCAAGGGCCAGAGAAGCACACGGGGAGGUGAGAAAGCAGCCUGGGAAGUGGUGGUGGUGGUGUCUCAGAGGUCAGCAAAGAGGAAGGAAAAGAAUCUUGAUGGUAAGGGAGCUGGAGGAGGAAACUUUGCUUUCAGAUCAGGCAUCUGCCACGAACUGGCCUAGCCAUUAGGUGUGUUCUGUCCCUCCCCUAACUUCAGGCUCCUUUUCUAUGAAUCUGAUGCAAAAUGUCCUGAGUCUCUUCUGGGCUGACACCCAGAGUGCUCUCAGCACAAACACACACACACACACACACACACACACACACGUGCUCCCUCUCAUAUGCUUGUGGACAUUCACUCAUAUUCACACACACAUAUACACCCACACUCACAAUUCACAGACCGGCUCACAGACACACACUUCCUGCACAUGCAACACCCACACAUCUAUACUCUUGCACACACACACACCCAUACACACCCACACUCACAAUUCACAGACUGGCUUACAGACACACACUUCCUGCACAUGCAACUGCCCCCCUCAACACACAUUCAGACAGGCUCAAAGACACUUCCAUGCACAUGCAACACUGACACACUUAUGUUCAUGCGCACACACACACACACACACACACACACACUGCUUUACAUGUUCUUUCACCACACACACUCUCAUGCACACAAACUUGUAUGUGCAUAUUGAUUUGGGUAUAGGUUACAUACUGAAGUCCAAAUCUUCAGAAAGCUGUAACAAACCAAUCAGAAAACUAAAAUAAAAAUCAUCUGCAGUGUUUUAUGCACUUGCGAUCCUCUCGUUGCCUCUGGUUUAGCCCCAUUCUCCACAGCAGAGGGCCAGACACUUUGGUUUUUACCUAGGCUUUUUUGCCUUGUUGCUGUUUCAGGGCAACAAGGCAUUAAGAAAAAAGAACAAAAGCAAAGAUAUUUAUAAGAGAGAAGAAAGCCCUUCCACUCCCAGCCAUGGGGGGUGGGGAAGAAGGAUUUUUGGAGUGUUCUUUGAGAAUAUUUGUAUAAAGUACUGCAUGUUCUUGUUUACUUUCUGUGGAGCCCCAUUUCCUCCCCAGAAUUCCUGGUCGUCAGACUCACCAGUUACAGGGCUCUUCGGAUGAAAAUCUGAGACACAGAAAACACACACAUGUGGCAGGGCUGGGGCAUCCUCGUCUCUCAGUAUCCUCUGAGAUCUGGGGCAUUUCUGGAUCAAGCAUCUACCUUGCUUCUCCCCUCCCUCUGACCUGACCCCAGAGCUGCAGAGAAAAGCUGAGGGACAUCUCUGGGGGUCCCACCCGGAGACACCAGUGGAUCCUGUGGGUAGCAGUUCAUGGAAGCCAUGCAGAAAUGGAGGCUCCCUGCCCCUGGACACCAGGGAGGGGACUGGCUACCCAGGGUGCCUUGCUGGAACUGUCCCCUCUGAGGCAAUCCUAAUGUCCUCAGGAUAAAGACAUGUCCUGAGGUCUCAUGUUCAGUUACAAAAUGCUUUACCAUUUCUUACUCUGUGUCACUGGCACAUUUCUGUAACUGGACAGACCCCCGUUUUAUAGAUCAGAGAGGCUAACUUGCCUAAAAUGACACAGUGAGAAGGAAGAGAGCUUAAACAUGGGUUUGCAUUUUCUAAGCCUAAACUACCCCUAUUUCCAUUGACUUAUGGAUAAUAAAGAAUAAUUAUGAGGAAUAAUAAUAAGAAGCUAACAUUUUACCAGUCUACCAAAUACAUGGUACCAUUUUAGGUACGUUCUAGAGAUCAACUCAUUUAAUCCUCACAACCUAAUGAGGUGGGCACUUUCAGAAUCCCCAGGAAGCAAAUGAAGAAAUCAAACCCCAAAGGGUCAGGAAACGUGCCUGAAGCCACCUGUUAAUGAAUGAAGAAGUGGAUGCCACGGUCUAGAAACCACUGCAGUCCAGAGAAAGCGUGGGGGUCACCACCACUCCCUCUGGGGUUUCAAAUGUGCUCCACCCCUUCCAGCUGGGUUUCAAGGUCCAACCUCACAUGCACUUCCUUCUAUCCUGUGUGUACACAGGCUUCACCCACCAAUGACAGCUGACUUUCUCCCCAAGGAUCUGAUCAUUGAUCCAAUUAUGGGUUUGUUGCAAAUGGAAAUUAAUGUCAUUUGUCCUCCCCUUUAUUUUUGCUUUUUCCACUGAAGUGGCUAUUAUGGUUACAUACACCAUACAAGAAUUGUGGUAACGUUGUUUCUAAAUUAAUUGCUACCUAAGAGUUUUCGAUUUUCACUUUUUGUGGUAAUGGUGGCUACCAACAGGGAACCUGCAAUUACGGUAAAUGGUUCUUGUCACUGAGGCAUGGGGAGGAGGUGAAGAAGGGAUGGGGCAGGGAGUGCGGGGAGGGCAGGAGCCUGAGAGCAAGGGUCACUUAAAAAAUAUAUCCAGACAAGGAUCCAAUUUCUACAGUAACUGGAAAAAAAACCUUGAGGGUGAAAUUAAAGCAAAUUCAUGAACGUGUUUUUUUUUAAAUUGAGGUUUGUUUUUCCACUGGGCUUUGGGUUGGAUGGAAGGAGUGGUUGGGGGACCCUCUCACCAGCCACUGUGAACUUAAUAACCUGUCAUCACUCUUAUAGACGUGUCAGCCUCUGAGUGGGAGGGUGACUCCAUCCAGAAACCCUGAACAUGGGAGACCCUGUUGUUUAAAAUCUUUCCUUUUGUAGGCAUGCAUAAGUCAUUUCUGACAUUACAUUGAACAGGUCUAAUUUAGUGUUUUUGACAAAAGGAGUCUCCAGCCCCAUUGUGGUGAGAAGGGAGUGAAACAGAGUCACGUUAAAUAAGAUGCCUAGGAAUGGUGUCAGUGUAACAGCAAGAGUGACUAAUAGAUGGUAGUACCCAGGUCCUCUGAAGCCACAGCAGCAUCUUCACUGCUUGACGGAAGAGCUGUGAUUUGGGGAGUGCAAGAACCAUGCUCUCUUCAGGCUGUGAACAUGAGUGUUUGCUUCCAAAGCAGCUUCCAUCAAAGACGGUUGCAACUCACUAUGUCACACAAUUGCCUGUUCCAGAGAAAGAGUUUCUUUCCAUUUCAGAUCAGAGUGAGUUUGGAGGCCUCCUAAAUGCAGCUGCUAAGUCUGGGCAAGCUAGAGAAUCUGUGGAUGGCUCCCCUUCCCCUAAGCCUUCUCUCUCCAGAAUCUGGACAUCCAGGAAGAAUACUGCUCAGCCUUUCUGGGAUGUUGAAUUUCCCUCCCCAGCCUAUACUCUGGAUGCAGCUCUCUGCAGCCUCCCUGGAUCCAGAAUGUCCAGAAGGCAAGCUGUACAGCUGCUUGGAUCUAGGACUCCAUCCGGAUCUGGCUGCUGUGUCUGAGCAAGAGAGAUGGUUCUAAGCUCACAGCAGGGCUCUGGGUGGCUUAUUGCUUUGGUCCUGAGAUGCUUUUAGAGCAAUGCAACUUUCUACAGGGACCCUUAGGUCCCAGGAAGGAUGGAGCAAUCAGAAGCGAGGCUGGGAAGCUUUAGAAAUUGAAGUCUCGAGUUCCUGUUGUGGUGCAGCAGAAAUGAAUCCAACUAGGAACUAUGAGGUUGUGAGCUCCAUCCGUGGCCUCGCUCAGUGGGUCAAGGAUUCCACGUUGCCAUGAGUUGUGGUGUGGGUCGCAGACAUGGCUCAGAUCUGGUGUUGCUGUGGCUCUGGCAUAGGCUGACGACUACAGCUCUGAUUAGACCCCUAGCCUGGGAAACUUCAUAUGCCGUGGGUGUGGCCCUAAAAAAAAAAAAAAAGAAAGAAAUUGAAGUCUUAGUUAAAAUGCCCCUUUGGCAUGAUGCUCUUAAGAGUCUGAAUCUGAGAAAGGACCCUCUGAAAACAGUGACUUGUGAAGCCAUUAGUGGAAAGGCUUCAAGUGGAAGGAGGUGGCUCUGCUGCCAUUGACAAAACUUAUACUCUGCAUCCUCACAGAGAAAAAUCCAUUCUUGAUCCCACCUGCCCUUCAGGUGGCCAGGACCGAAUUUUCAAUUCAAGGCUAAGACUGUCUAGAAUGUUCUUUCAUGCUUAGUCCAGCUGACAGUAUUGCUAUGGGGGUGCAUAUGAGGACAGCCAUGGGCCUUGCUCCCAGGCACCCCCUCCCCAAUCCCCAGGUGGUCUCUGGGGGAGGAAAUUUCUGGAACAUUCUAACUCUGCAGCAGGGUGUCCAUGAAGCAGGUACUGCAGUGAGGCGGGUGGCCUGACCUGGGGAAAACGUCAGUGACUCACCUGAGGGUGAGAAACUGCCCUUUGUGAUUUGAAAAAGUAAUGCUGACAAAGAGCUUUGUCACUUCUGAACUUUGUCCCCUCCUUAGGGAGCACUAAAUUCACAUAUAUUAGGAAGAAGCCAUAUUUGGGUUUACAUCCAGUGAAAACAAUUCAGGAACUACACAGGCGAUUCUGCAACAGGUCUUAGAGUGGCGAAAUCAAGAAUGAAAAGUUCUCUCUCCCUGUUUAGAAACAAUUGGGCAAAAAGGUCUAAGUCAGACAUUUCAUAUCACAGUCUUCUGCCUGAAGAGGGGGUUCAGUUUUCAUUUAUCUCUUGUGUUCUUUGAAGUGCAAGCCUCCGUCUGCUUAAUGCCCUAAACCAGAGAGACUAUGAUGGGAUUCCUUUUACAUUAAACAAAUCCAAGUCUGGAAAGGCAGUAAUAUUUCUAAACAAGUAAAACCCAGCCAUGACUUUGGCUUUUGCAAAGCUUGAGAUGGUUAUCCAGGACUGUUGCUAAUGGGGCAAAAAUUUAACCUGCAUCUAGUGAGGAGCUGACGGAGGUGACUGGAGACUCUCUGAUGGGUCAUCCAGCCAUAAACCCACCUCCUUUUUGAAUCCAUUCUAUAUGCAAGGUGGUCUGUCUCCUUCAGGGUCUGAGAAAAUUAAAAAAAAAAAAAAGAAGGAGAGGGAGGUGGGAGAAAGAGCAGGCAAAAAAGGAAGAAAAGAUGAAACGUGGAGAAAUAGCAAAAGGAAAUGAAAAGAACUUUACGGCUCCGUUUCUCCUCCUGCCUGACCCAAUUAUCAGAUUUUGCAUUUAAGUUUAAGACAGUAGAUCAAACAGCAAGAGGCACUUUGUACUUCUGCCAGGAGACCAUAUGAUAUCUCUCAGUGACUCUCCUGCAUGCCAGGAAUACGGAACCAUGCCUCUCAGCCGGGCCUGCAUAUGGUGUGAUGUGCAAAAAAUAGCAAAAUUCAUCAGUGACUGUACUCGUGGAUGAUGUCCAGGAUUUACGGCACUUUUUAUCAGUUCAAGGGGGAAAAAAAGGCAAAGCACGAUCUAAUUAUAACUCUCCACAAUUAAGUCCAAAAGUCGAAUGAGAACCGACAGACAAAAGGAGUGGGUCACGCUUACUCUGCAAAAUCGAUCCUCUUCAGGCUUGUUUUUGUGGGAUACAGAACUUUUUACAAGGUAGGGGUCAGAUCUGUUUUGGGUAUUUGGACGUUGCUUGCAGUGGCUGUGUGCGUUCUCCUUGAACUUGAAGGCCUGGAUGGCAGACGUCAACUGCUUCAAGCCGUUAUGGUUUACCUCCUGAGAGAAUUAGUCAAAGAACAUCCUUUUUGUGUGUGUGUAUGGAGAUGUUUUAUGUGGGCUUUGCAUGGUAUUUAAGUGGUUUUUAUGCGUUUGGACAAGGAUUUGACUUUGUGCAGCUCAGUGAGAAGAUGCUUUGGAAAGGCCACUUCUCACUUCUGAGAAUCAUGAUAAGUCCUGGGAAACCAUGAUUCUUCUCCAGGGCUGGGGAUUUGCUAGGAGAUGGGGCAGAGGGAUGUUCUAAUCUUCACAGUAAUAAGUUUGGAAAUGCUGGGUGUGACCUCUCCUCCACGGGUGGUGGUAGAACUAGCAGUGCUGACUUCUCCAAAUUCACAUUCAGAUAAUAUUCCUUAGAAAUAUAUAUAUAUAUAUAUUUCAAAUUCAGCCCUUUCUCUGGGAGAAGACUAAGGGUGGAGCAUGGAAAUCACUGUUUUGUUCUGAUCCUGGAUGGCUGGGGUUUAAAGACUGACCUCAGAGGUCACCUCCUCUGCAGGCUUUCCAAGCUCCCACUUUCCUUCACCCUGGGGGAAAGGCUUACUUCCUACUUUGUCACUACACUAGGCUCCUCACUGGUCAGAAGUCCUGUUAGGCUUUGCUGCAGCUAUUCAUUUAUGCAUCUUAUUUUUCACAUGUGUGAACUCAUUCAACCUUCAUAAUGGGCCCCCAAGGUCAGAACAAUUAUGGUACCCAUUUUAUAGACUAUUCCAGACCCCACAGCACUCUGAUGGAAAACAUGGGCUCAGGCAGCAAGAGCUGAACAAUUGGUUAAUCUGGAGGAAGAGUAUACAGAAGUUCUUUGUAUGACUCUUGCAACUUUCCUGUAUGUUCAACUCAUUUCAAAAUAAAGAGUCAAAGACAGUCUCAGGAGUUAGGUAAUCCUGGAUUUCAGUACCGGCUCCACCACUAACCAGCUGUUUGUAAACUGAGGUUUUACAUAGUUUAGCCCACUUAAUCUUCAUAAUCCUCUAAGGUGAGGUAGGCAUUAUAUAUUUAUCCCAACUGUGCACAUGAAGAAGCUAACGCUCAAGAACGCCAAAGAAGCUGGUGCUUGUAUAUACUAUGCUGAUUAUCCACAAUUUGAAAUGACUUAAUAAGAAAGUGUUAAGUUCCCUAGAGCUUUGAAAAAAAAAAAAAAAACCAAAAAAAAAAAAAACNAAAAAAAA
rnacentral:lncRNA from 1 species